GAAAUGCGAUAAGUAAUGUGAAUUGCAGAAUUCAGUGUAUCAUCGAAUCUUUGAACGCACAUUGCGCCCGCCAGUAUUCUGGCGGGCAUGCCUGUCCGAGCGUCAUUUCAACCAUCAAGCCCCCGGGCUUGUGUUGGGGACCUGCGGCCGCCCGCAGGCCCUGAAAACCAGUGGCGGGCUCGCUGUCACACCGAGCGUAGUAGCAAUCACCUCGCUCAGGGCGUGCUGCGGGUUCCGGCCGUUAAACAGCCUUACAAAACCCAAGGUUGACCUCGGAUCAGGUAGGAAGACCCGCUGAACUUAAGC
rnacentral:misc_RNA from 1 species